GAAAAAAAGGAAAAAAAAAAAGAAAAAAAAUCACAUAGAUUACAUCACUUGCACUUUUAGGAGAGUCUAGAGCAUAUAGGUUGCAUUCACUUGCAUUGGGAGCAAUGAUUUAAAAUGCCUCGUAAAGAACACUACUUCGCGCUUGAAUAGUUAUUGCAUCUCUCAAAAAAGCCUUGUAUGUUUCGAGCCUUGAAAACUCUUCCUGAAUCUCAUUAAUUGCUGAAACUCAAUCUUUGAAGCCAACUUCAACCUUAUUUGAACUGAACGAACUUAAUGCUUCUUGCUGAUGGUCCCUUGUGUACUGAAUCAUGGCUAUACACACUUGAGUUUUCACAUCCUUUAAACCAAUCUUUUUGACAAACUCAAGUGGUAGACCACCCCCAAAACCCUUCCUUCUUUUUAAGCUUUCAUUGUUUGAUGAGUGAGGCC
rnacentral:lncRNA from 1 species